rnacentral:rRNA from 1 species
UACGGAGGGGGCGAGCGUUUAUUCGGAAUUAUUGGGCGUAAAGGGCGCGUAGGCGGCUGUGUAAGUCAAAGGUGAAAUCCCUCGGCUCAACUGAGGAACUGCCUUUGAAACUGCUCAGCUUGAGGCCGGGAGGGGGUGGUGGAAUUCCCAGUGUAGCGGUGAAAUGCGUAGAUAUUGGGAGGAACACCAGUGGCGAAGGCGGCCACCUGGACCGGUUCUGACGCUGAGGCGCGAAAGCGUGGGUAGCAAAC